rnacentral:rRNA from 1 species
GGCGAGCAUCACAAACGUUAUUCGGAAUUACUGGGCUUAAAGGGUGCGUAGGCGGUGUAGCAAGUCGGGAGUGAAAUCCCGCAGCUCAACUGCGGAAUUGCUUUCGAUACUGCUGCGCUUGAGUGAGAUAGAGGUAAGCGGAACUUAGGGUGGAGCGGUGAAAUGCGUAGAUAUCGGAAGGAACAUCAGUGGCGAAAGCGACUUCCUGGACCAAUACUGACGCUCAUGUGCGAAAGCGUGGGGAGCAAACAGG